rnacentral:rRNA from 1 species
GGGUUAAGGUGCUAGAAUAUACGCUUAUUAGAUACUAUAAAAGGUGUUAGUUUAUCUAGACAGCAGGACAGUAGCUAUAGAAGUUAGAAUUUGCUAAGGAGUGUAUAAUAACUUACCUGCUGAAUGAACUAGCUCUGAAAAUAGAUAGCGCUUAAGCGUAUUACCUAUACUCUGCCGCUGGGGCAGAAUUUAUGCUCUAGCAAGUAGGCAGGCGUAGAGGCUUGUGACGAAGCCUUAGGGGUGACCUUAGGUUAAACGGCCUCUAGUGCAGAUCUUAGUAGUAGUAGCAAAUACUUAAAUAAGAACUUUAAGGACUAAAGUGGGGAAAGGUUCUAUAUAAACAGCAGUUAGACACAGGUUAGUUGAUCCUAAGAGAUAGAGUAGUUCUGUUUUAAUAUUAGCGCUUGCGCUACGCCCUUAAAAGAGAAGCUAGUUAAUAUUCUAGCACCUAGAUGUAGAUUCUCUGCAGCAACGCAACUAAGAGCAGAGACCUUAGUAAGAGCUCUAAGAAGAGUUCUCUUUUCUUCUUAACAGUCUGUUACUCUAAAAUCAGUUUGUCUAGAGCUAGAGUUUAAUAGCCAGAAGAGCGCUGUACUUUUGUAGCGUUUAGUGCGCUCCUAAUAAGCCUUAAAAAUCUGCUUAAAGAAAUAGUUUUUACGCUAGGUUGUACUUAUAACUGCAGUAGGUCUCUAAGGUAAAAAGCCUCUAGUUAAUAGAACAAUGUAGAUAAGGGAAGUUAGCAAAAUAGAUCUAUAACUUUGGAAAAAGGAUUGGCUCUAAGGGUUAGGUACGUUGGGCCUUAGAGAGAAGCCUCUAGCGCAGAAGGGCACUAGCUGUAAGGUAAGCACCUUUCAGCGCUAGGGUACAGGCAUUCUUAGCAGGCUUCAGCUGUCCGGCGUACGUUUAAUAACUAACUUAGAACUAGUAUAGAUAAGAGGAAUCUAACUGUCUAAUUAAAACAUAGCAUUAUAAUAGCUAGAAAGUAGUAUUAACGCAAUGUAAUUUCUGCUUAGUGCUCUGAAUAUUAAAGCGAAGAGAUUUAACUAAGCGCAGGUAAACAGCGGGAGUAACUAUAACUCUCUUAAGGUAGCUAAAUGCCUUGUUAUCUAAUUAGUAACGCGCAUGAAUGGAUUAAUGAGAUUUCUACUAUCUCUAUCUACUAUCUAGCGAAACUACAGCUAAGAGAAUAGGCUUAGCUAAAUUAGCGGGGAAAGAAGACCCUAUUAAGCUUAACUCUAGUUUAAUAUUAUAAAAAGACAUAGAGGGUGUAGAAUAGGUGGGAGCUUUAGCGCUAGUGAAAUACUACUACUCUUAUCAUUUUUUUACUUAUUUAAUAAAGCAGAGCUAAGCCUUACUGCCUAACUUCUAGCGUUAAGAUCCUUCGUGGGCUAAUCUAGGUUAAAGACAUUGUUAGGUAGGGAGUUUAGCUAGGGCAGCACAUCUGUUAAACUAUAACGCAGGUGUCCUAAGAGGGACUUAUAGAGAAUAGAAAUCUCUAGUAGAGCAAAAGGGCAAAAGUCC